CAAUAGCGUAUAUUUAAGUUGCUGCAGUUAAAAAGCUCGUAGUUGGAUUUCGGGUGGGAAUGGCCGGUCCGCCGUUUCGGUGUGCACUUGCUACGCCCACCUUGCUGCCGGGGACGUGCUCUUGAGUUCACGCUCGGGACACGGAGUCGGCGAGGUUACUUUGAGUAAAUUAGAGUGUUCAAAGCAGGCCUACGCUCUGAAUACAUUAGCAUGGAAUAACACGAUAGGACUCAGGCCUAUCUUGUUGGUCUGUAGGACCGGAGUAAUGAUUAAGAGGGACAGUCGGGGGCAUUCGUAUUUCAUUGUCAGAGGUGAAAUUCUUGGAUUUAUGAAAGACGAACUACUGCGAAAGCAUUUGCCAAGGAUGUUUUCAUUAA
rnacentral:rRNA from 1 species